UACGUAGGGUGCGAGCGUUGUCCGGAAUUACUGGGCGUAAAGAGCUCGUAGGUGGUUUGUCGCGUUGGUCGUGAAAACCGGGGGCUUAACCCUCGGCGUGCGGGCGAUACGGGCAGACUGGAGUACUGCAGGGGAGACUGGAAUUCCUGGUGUAGCGGUGGAAUGCGCAGAUAUCAGGAGGAACACCGGUGGCGAAGGCGGGUCUCUGGGCAGUAACUGACGCUGAGGAGCGAAAGCGUGGGGAGCGAACAGG
rnacentral:rRNA from 1 species